rnacentral:rRNA from 1 species
AAUGGGCGAGAGCCUGAACCAGCCAAGUCGCGUGCAGGAAGAAUGUCCUAUGGAUUGUAAACUGCUUUUGCAGGGGAAUAAAGUGAGCCACGUGUGGUUUUUUGUAUGUACUCUGCGAAUAAGGAUCGGCUAACUCCGUGCCAGCAGCCGCGGUAAUACGGAGGAUCCGAGCGUUAUCCGGAUUUAUUGGGUUUAAAGGGUGCGUAGGCGGGAUAAUAAGUCAGUGGUGAAAGUUUGCAGCUUAACUGUAAAAUUGCCGUUGAAACUGUUAUUCUUGAGAGUAGAUAAGGUAGGCGGAAUGUGUUGUGUAGCGGUGAAAUGCAUAGAUAUAACACAGAACCCCGAUUGCGAAGGCAGCUUACCGGGCUACAUCUGACGCUGAUGCACGAAAGCGUGGGGAUCAAA